ensembl:lncRNA
CAGGUUUAGAGGGAAUGGGUGCAGCCUGAGAAAGGCUGCCUCUGGCACCAACUUCUCCUUUGAGACUGGGCAGACGGGGAAGAGAGAUAAGAAAAAAAUGCCAGGGCUCCAGUUGUACACAGAAGCUUUUCUAAAGCAAUUGGAGCCGCAGAGAAAGGCUCUUCACAGGCUGGAGCUGGAGGAAGCUUCUAGAUCACAGCCGUGGAGUCACGUGCUGGGGCCUCGGUGAGCCCCCAGUAGGGAAAACUAUCCGUCCGAGGCCACGCCCACCAGCAUGUCAUUCCUGCCAGGCCUGUCUCUGACCUGCCUCCCUAAAUAAAAGCAUGGAGAUGUGAGAUCUCUGACCCGUGCUUCCAGGGACCAAUCAGUCGCCACCCGCCUCCCCAGCUUCUUCUGGUGCGAGGGAGGGACAAGUUGAAGGUGGUGCUAAUGGUAAAAAACCUGCCUGCCAGUGCAGAGGACAUGAGACCCGGCUUUGAUCCCUGGGUCAGGAAGAUUCCCCUGGAGGGGAAAAUGGCAACCCACCCCAGUAUUCAUGCCUGGAGAAUCCCAUGGACAGAGGAGCCUGGCGGUUAUGGUCCAUGGGGUCACAAAGAGUCAGACACGACUGAAGAGACGACACAUGCAUAUUUGGUUUACAAUGUUAUUUCUGCUGCACAGCAAAGCGAUUCAGUUGUAUGUGUAUAUAUAUAUAUAUAUAUAUAUGUAUAUAUA